CCUACGGGAGGCAGCAGUGGGGGAUAUUGCACAAUGGAGGAAACUCUGAUGCAGCGACGCCGCGUGAGGGAAGACGGUCUUCGGAUUUUUAACCUCUGUCUUUGGGGAAGAAAAUGACGCUACCCAAAGAGGAAACUCCAGCUAACUACGUGCCAGCAUCCGCUGACAUACUUAGGGAGCGAGCGGUAUCCGGAAUUACUGGGUGUAAAGGGAGGAUAGUCGGGCGAGAAAGUUGAAUGGUAAAUCUACCGGCUUAAAUGUUAGCUGCGUUUAAAAAUUCUUGUCUUGAGUGAAGUAGUGGCAGGCGGAAUUGCUAGUGUAGCGGUGAAAUGCGUAGAUAUUAGGAAGAACACCAGUUGCGAAGGCGGCAUGCUGGGGUUUAACUGACGCUGAGGCUCGAAAGCGUGGGGAGCGAACAGGAUUAGAUACCCCUGUAGUC
rnacentral:rRNA from 1 species